rnacentral:rRNA from 1 species
UGGUGGAGCGAUUUGUCUGGUCAAUUCCGAUAACGAACGAGACUCUAGCCUACUAAAUAGUUCGGGGACCCCCACAAAGGGGCCCCGCUUCAACUUCUAGAGGGACAGGUGGCGUUUAGCCACACGAGAUUGAGCAAUAACA